rnacentral:rRNA from 1 species
GUAGGUGGCAAGCGUUGUCCGGAAUUAUUGGGCGUAAAGCGCACGCAGGCGGUCCUUUAAGUCUGAUGUGAAAGCCCACGGGCUCAACCGUGGAGGGUCAUUGGAAACUGGGGGACUUGAGUACAGAAGAGGAAAGCGGAAUUCCAAGUGUAGCGGUGAAAUGCGUAGAGAUUUGGAGGAACACCAGUGGCGAAGGCGGCUUUCUGGUCUGUAACUGACGCUGAGGCGCGAAAGCGUGGGGAGCAAACAGGAUUAGAUACCCUGGUAGUCCACGCCGUAAACGAUGAGUGCUAAGUGUUAGGGGGUUUCCGCCCCUUAGUGCUGCAGCUAACGCAUUAAGCACUCCGCCUGGGGAGUACGGCCGCAAAGGCUGA